GUAUAAACUGGGGUCCAAAAGGCAGUUCUUUGGGAACUAACUCCAGGACACAGCCCCAUCAGAGCUGCCAGACCUCAACACUCUGUCAAUGACACCGUGCAGAAACUGAAGUCCCCCAGAUGGACCUGAUCCCAAAUGGCCAGCAGGAAAAAGUUCAUCUGUCUUAUUGGGAGUGGUGAACAUUGAUGGCACUGACUGUCAGUGGACAGCUACUCACUAC